rnacentral:rRNA from 1 species
GACGAACGCUGGCGGCGUGCUUAACACAUGCAAGUCGAACGAAGUGGCGACCGGGUGAGUAAUACGUGGGUAACCUGCCCUCGUUUACGGGCUAAGCCUUGGGAACGGGGUCUAAUAACGAGUAAAGGCGGAGGGGCCUGUGGCCUAUCGGCGUGUCGGUGGGGUGUUGGCUUGACAAGGAGGUGACGGGUAGCCGGCCUGAGAGGGGGAGCUGGCACAGUGAGACUGAGCUACGGCCCAGAGUCGUACGGGAUGGAGCAGUGGGGGAUAUUGCACAAUGUGCGAAAGCCUGAUGCAGCGACGCUGCGUGGGGUAUGAAGGCUGUCGGGUUGUAAACCUGUUUCGCUAGCGAACGGGUAGGUGGAGAAGAAGCGCCGGCUAACUACGUGCCAGCAGCCGCGGUAAUUC